ensembl:ncRNA lncRNA:CR45023 long non-coding RNA:CR45023
AGUAAACAGAUCCUGGAGCAGAACAUUACCAGAAUCGUAACCAAAAUCGGGAGGCCGUGGCCUAAACCACUGGCCCUAAUUGGGCGUGAACAUAGAGGGCAUAAUACGCGGCCGAAAUGCGGACUUCAAUUUUGAUAAGAAGCUCCGAGCUGGAACUGCGAAAUUUGCAAUUAGCCCCCGUCGAAAAUGAAAUGGCCAAGCAAAUUGUCAAAGAGCCGGUGAAAUUGUUUACAAACCAAUUACAAAACUGCGAGCCGCAGACAAUGGCAGCACAGAUUUCCAGCUAUCUGACCUUUGAACCCGGCAACUCAACUCAGCUCAACUUCUAGAGCCUUCCGGCACAGCUGCUUGAAAGUAAAAUCCAGCGAACCGCCAAAAAUUUCGUUAUCUUAAUGAGUCUAAACGUUAAUCAGGCAAAGCAAAGCCAUCGACGGAGCGCGGCAGGAUGCGGAGGAAAUGGUAGCCAUUUCGUGCUGGUCACCUCACUUGGCCAGUGGGCCAAACAGAAAACGAAAAACCAAAAAUAAAAAACGGCGGAAGCCAAAUUUGCCGGCUGCGGCAAACGGAAGUCGCAGAGUCGGGCUACAGUCGAAAGUCCGAAGCGGUACGGAUGCAUAUUAAAUUAAUAAUUUGACCCAUCCUGUGACUCCGAGUGCCACAAGCUAGCAAAUUCGGCCAAAAAGGAGACUGGGCUAAUUUCUGCAUCCGCCGACGAGAUUUUUGUUUGCUGAUUGCGACAAGGACAACACGGUGGCGGAGGGGCCAUGUUGCGCUAAUGUUUCACCCGAGACCGGGUACCCAGGAUUCAGAACUGGGUUCCCCAGCACCCAGAAACCGAGAGAUAAACAAUUAAAAACUUUCGCAAUUUGCGGUAAUUCCACUCUUAACCCCUUUGGACGCCAAGUGCGCAUAACAAGUAGUUGUAGCAUGGGAUUGUGGUACUUUCACCGAGUUUACAGAGAACAAAUUCGGGCCAAGAAGAAAAAUGUGUUCAUAAACUUAUGCGACAGGCGACAAGUUUUCUCUGAGUGCACCUGAUAAGACGCCCCAUUUGAUAUCUUAUCUUUUGUAGCUGCCAGACUGAUAAUGCAUGAGAUCUUAACCCGUUUUCAGUUGGGUGCAACAUGUAAUUUUGUUUGUUUUGCGCACGUUUUAACUUAUCAAUCAGAAUGGUGUGCAAAAAUAUUCACUACUAUAUAUACAAAAGGCACGAUC